ensembl:lncRNA
AUCAACAGCUGUAGAAUCUCUGCUGAGUCCUGGCUGCUCCUUUCAGGCAGCCUUCCUGGAGAGCACUGAAUCCAGCUCCUGCCAGAAGGCUAUAACAUGGGGUCCAUACUUUGUCUCCAGUAAAACUUGGAAUGCUGCCCAAUCCAAACAGGUUGGAGGAAGUUAGAUUUUUUUUCUUUCUUCAUUGUUAGAAGAUUAUGGAAUCAUCAUCAUGAGUUGUUCUGCUCACAAAGAUUGGUAGGUGUGGGAUCUCCAAGCUCCAUUUCUGCAGUUUCAUCAGAGAAUAGGAGGAUCUUGUGAAUCUGACCAUGCUCAGUGUGCAGGCGGCUACCAGGGAUAAUGAGGU